GACGAACGCUGGCGGCGUGCUUAACACAUGCAAGUCGAACGGUGAAGCGCCUUCCUUUUUGGUGGGUGUGGAUGAGUGGCGAACGGGUGAGUAACACGUGAGUAACCUGCCCCCUUCUUCUGGAUAACCGCAUGAAAGUGUGGCUAAUACGGGAUAUUCUGGGUCUGUCGCAUGAUGGGUCUGGGAAAGAUAUUGUUUCGGUGGGGGAUGGGCUCGCGGCCUAUCAGCUUGUUGGUGGGGUGAUGGCCUACCGAGGCGGUGACGGGUAGCCGGCCUGAGAGGGUGGACGGUCACACGGGGAAUGAGACACGGCCCAGACUCCUACGGGAGGCAGCAGUGGGGAAUAUUGCACAAUGGGCGCAAGCCUGAUGCAGCGACGCCGCGUGAGGGAUGGAGGCCUGCGGGUUGUGAACCUCUUUCGCCAGUGAAGCAGGCCUGCCUCGUUUGUGGGUGGGUUGACGGUAGCUGGAGAAGAAGCGCCGGCUAACUACGUG
rnacentral:rRNA from 1 species